AAGGUUGGUACUUGUACCGACUGGAUGAGCAGCGAACGGGUGAGUAACGCGUGGGGAAUCUGCCUUUGAGCGGGGGACAACAUUUGGAAACGAAUGCUAAUACCGCAUAAAACUUUAAACACAAGUUUUAAGUUUGAAAGAUGCAAUUGCAUCACUCAAAGAUGAUCCCGCGUUGUAUUAGCUAGUUGGUGAGGUAAAGGCUCACCAAGGCGAUGAUACAUAGCCCGACCCUGAGAGGGUGAUCGGCCACAUUGGGACUGAGACACGGCCCAAACUCC
rnacentral:rRNA from 1 species